CGGCGGACGGGUGAGUAACACGUGGAUAACCUACCUAUAAGACUGGGAUAACUUCGGGAAACCGGAGCUAAUACCGGAUAAUAUAUUGAACCGCAUGGUUCAAUGGUGAAAGACGGUUUUGCUGUCACUUAUAGAUGGAUCCGCGCCGCAUUAGCUAGUUGGUAAGGUAACGGCCUACCAAGGCAACGAUGCGUAGCCGACCUGAGAGGGUGAUCGGCCACACUGGAACUGAGACACGGUCCAGACUCCUACGGGAGGCAGCAGUC
rnacentral:rRNA from 1 species